AUUGAACGCUGGCGGCAGGCCUAACACAUGCAAGUCGAGCGGAUGAGUGGAGCUUGCUCCAUGAUUCAGCGGCGGACGGGUGAGUAAUGCCUAGGAAUCUGCCUGGUAGUGGGGGACAACGUUUCGAAAGGAACGCUAAUACCGCAUACGUCCUACGGGAGAAAGUGGGGGAUCUUCGGACCUCAAGCUAUCAGAUGAGCCUAGGUCGGAUUAGCUAGUUGGUGAGGUAAAGGCUCACCAAGGCGACGAUCCGUAACUGGUCUGAGAGGAUGAUCAGUCACAAUGGAACUGUGACACGGUCCAGUCUCCUACGGAAGGCAGCAGUGGGGAAUAUUGGACAAUGGGCGAAAGCCUUAUCCAGCCAUGCCGCGUGUGUGAAGAAGGUCUUCGGAUUGUAAAGCACUUUAAGUUGGGAGGAAGGGCAGUAAGUUAAUACCUUGCUGUUGUGACGUUACCAACAGAAUAAGCACCGGCUAACUUCGUGCCAGCAGCCGCAGUAAGAC
rnacentral:rRNA from 1 species